AGUGGCCUAGGCAAAGCUGAGGACACAGAUGCCAGCACCGUGCCACUCCCAGGCUGGCUCCAUUCCCGUCACCUGUCACCUCCUGCUGAGUCCCCAGGCGUCAGUCAAUGUCGGUACAUCGGUGCAACAUUCUUGUGUACCAGGCAUGGCUCCCGGCAUCAAAAUACAGCAGCGCAUUAAACCUCCCUCCUGGUGGGUCUGUCUGUUUUGGUACCGUAAGGGCUCAGCCAGCAUCUGAACGUCAGUGAGAUAACGCGGCCAGUGAGCUCGGGUCAAUAUCUCUCCAUCUGAGGCGGCAGCGUGCUCUCUUACCAGCAUCAGGAGCUCAGGACCACAGGAUGGUGCGGGCUGAAUGCACUGCCGUCAAGACAGCUGUGCUAGUCACUGCAGGUGUGGUUCUUUUACAUACGGCAUUUCAUGUUCUUUACUAGAAUGUUUCAACAGGGAGUUAAUUAACUGAGUCAAUUCACAUUUAAUAAAUAUGAUGCUUUGUUGAAAAGACAGUUAUAGGCAGAAUAUAAGCUGUGAAGACUUUAAAAACGGUUUCAUUACUGAAAUUUCUGUAGGGAAGAUACACAGUUUAUCUUAUUUAUUCCUCUCUUUUAAAGUAACAAAGAAACAAGACAGAAAAGGCAGAGGAUGGUUUCUGUUCUUCCUCUCCGCUUGCAGGUGCCCUCACCUCCAGUAGCAUCCAUCCAGACACCAGCACUGACACUGGCCGUGCUCAGAACUGCCUCAGACCUGAAGACACAACUGACAAAUAAAAGGGGGCCACGCCCUGUUACAGCAGGUGCUCUCACUUUGUGGGUCCUUAUGUAACUGCACGAUGUUAAUCAGGAUCGCCCGUUCUACAUUGUGUAGCGCUGCUGCGGUGUCUCCUAGUUACUUGUUACUUGUAAGAAUUCCGGUGACUGAGUUAGAAGCAUGUUUCCAAGCUGUCCGUGUCCUCGGCAUCCAGAAGCGGAGCCUGGAAGCUUCCGAAUUUCUCCAGAAUUCAGUCUACAUUCACCUUCGGCAGACUGAUUGUGGAUAAUCUGGAAACUUGCAAAGGAAACGAGAUGGAAUUACUGCAGGUACUUUCUACUUUAAUAAGCCGUGUGCAAACAUAAACAUGGAGGAAGCAUACAUUUGAAUUUGGUGGUGUAGGGAAGGGUUUCUGCACAUUACAGGAGAACGCAAGGCAGAAUAUCUCUUCUUUGUUGGCAGGGAUGUGGGUCAACCUGUCUUUUCUGUAGCGGUUUCUGAGAGCACUUUAUGGUAAUUAACAAACAUUGACAAACGGUGGCACACUUUGCAUUUAAGAGCUGACCUGUGCAAACGUGUAUUGGACAGGUGGAUUUCAUAGGCAAGUGGUGAGGUGGAUUGGAGAGAGGUGUAGCCCAGGCCUGGGCUCAGAUUCAGGUUUAAAUCGCCAUUUCCUCACCAAAGGACCUUGGACUAGAGUGUAACCUCCAUUAAACUGUUGGUGAAUCUGUGAAAUAUGCAUUAUAAUAUUCGUUUCUUCCUGGGUUUGUUGUAAGUUUAAACAGUAUUAUAACACACAUGAAACACUUAACAGGCACUUAGCAGUGUUCACUUUGUCCUUCCGCCCCGCUUAGCGUGUGUUACAGCCGUAAAGGUAGCAUGUGCCUGUUGAGGACGUACUGGUAGCCCCUUGAAUAGGUUGUGAAUUUGGUGAUUUCCUUUAAUCCUUGAAACUCUACGUGCCAUGGGCAGUUAUUUUCAUGAACAGAUGAGGAAUCUUAGGGUAAAGAAGACGGUGUAAUUUGCCCAAAGUCAGACCAUAAUUUUGGGUGCAGGGGCCUCUGUUCAGCAUGGGCCCCUGGGCUUUCUGCCCUCUCCGUUCAGCACCAGAGCCAGACGUGGAGUCGCCUGUCUCCCAGCCCAGAAUAUCCGGCAGGCAGCAACACAAACCUGGACCUGUUCUGCUUAAGCAAAAACUCCGGAGGGGAGGCAGGUACUAAAGGGAUAAAUGUAAAAACAGACGACUGUAAACUGUUAUUAGCUCAGAGAAGGAAAGGAACACGCCUCGCCGUGCAGAGCUGGGAGCUUUCCCUUCGGGGCUGCUCUCAGGGUGUUCAUUUCAGCUAAACAAACUCCGCUCCUGCACCAAGGCAUGAAGGCAGGGUGCAUGUAACCAGGCUGACUGUGCCUCGUUGAUCAUAUUCAUUCCUAAUCCAGUGUCAGCUGUCACGGGCACUUACCUAGUAAACAGAUGUCGGCCAUAAUCAUCACGCACUUUGCUUGGUAGUUUUAUUGGCCCCACUUUUGAGAUGAGGUAAUUGAAGCUGGGGAGUUUGCUGCAUGCCCGUGAUUACCUUGGAAAUACCCCCACUGGUCUUUCAACCUAGACUGGUGUGGCUGUUACAUCCCAGCCCUGUGAAUGGCAUCGUGUAGCUUCUACCAAGUGGCCCAAAUGACUGACAUUGAUUUUCUUAAUCCGUAGGAAAUGGUAUGUAACAAUAAGAGAAAAGGUGGUAAGAAAUUCUUUGGAAAACUAGAACAAAAUCCAAUACUUCCCCAGCUGGGGUAGCGUACCCAGUGUCACUCAUCCCACUCACCGCCUGGCACCUCCUCCCUCCCGAAUCCGUGUUCAGAAGCCACGCUGAGCCUUCGAAGAACAUUUUGCCUCGUGACACUGUUGACUAAGACCUAUGAACUCUCUGUCUCUGGUUAACUCUCUCUUCAAGGCCAUUUAAAUUUUAUGCAGGCUCCUCCACUCCGAUGUAAGAAAAGACUCUUUAAACUUCUUGAUGAAGCUCCUAAAUGAAGAUCUUGUGAAGGAAACCUAGUCGAAACCUGGGAGGUUUGCACACAGUGACUACAUGCAACCUCAGCACUUUGUGAAGUUCAGAAUCAGAGGGGUGGGAGACUCAGGAAAGGCUUUUUAAGGUAGAAAGGGGAAAGUGAAAGGAUGCAGGCUGUGUGAGACUGAAACAUCUCGGUCCCAGCCAGCAAGGCACCUGCGUUCAGGAUGGUGUAUGGGGAGUACAGAGUUCUCACAAAGAAAGAAGUGGUGGGAUGGGAGGAAGGACAGAUAGAUUCUUUACUAGGGAAGGAAAAAGUGGGCUGAAAAUUUCCUGGUUGAAUAAGAGGACUGUGAAAUGAUGUGCUUGCAUUUUGGAGAGAAGGGUUUUGUGGGGACAGGCCUAGGAGAACGCUCUCUGGCUGGGGAGUCAGCACAACAGAGAACCACAGAGAACCGGGCUGACCUCAGGGCCCCUGCUGGGGGAGGGGCUGCCCGCCAUUUUGGUCCUGGGGGCUACUUCUGUCCCUUAGCUGGGGCCUCAGAACUCCCUUCACAUCCCAGUCCUGUUGAUACAAGAAAACAUAAGUGGGGCAUGGGAAGGGCUGUGUCCCAGGCUUUGGUUGAGCCCCUGGAAUGUGCCCCACCAGACGUGGGUCCUUGGCUUCAUGCAGGAAAGGUUUCAAGAGCAAGCCACUGUUGAGUAAAGAUAGAUUUAUUCACAGAGACACAUUGAAAGGCAGGAGAAAUGCCACGAGGUGUGGGGGUUGGGUGCUCAGAUUAAAAGUAGGUACACACUCCACAGACAAAGUGUGGGCCUUCUCCGAAGAGGGAGAGAGAGUGAUGACCGCAAGGUGGCGCUGUGUUGCUGGUUUUCAUGGGCUUGGUUGUUUUAUAUGCUAAUAAUUAGAAGGAGCAGCCUAAGGGCAAGGGGCUGGGAUUCCCAGGGAGUUGGCCAUUUCCCACCG